rnacentral:lncRNA from 10 species
GGUCGCUUCUCGCAGGCGGCGCGCUUGCUGGGUCACAGUGAGGCGGCUCCGCGCAGGCGCAGCCGGGCGGGCGAGGAGCGGGGAAGCUGACUCAGGGCUGCGGCCGGGGUCCUGCGGGGUAGGAGCGCGAGGCCGGCCUGAGGGAGGAGGCCUAGCGACCCAUCCGGCGCCUCCCGCCCCGGGCACCCGCCCGCGGCCGCGCAUCCUGCGGGCCCCAGGAGGCCUCCAUCUCAAAACAACGUGUUUUUAGAGAACUCAAGGGCUGUGAAAAGAGCAGGACCUCACCAGCUGCACGGCGGUGGUGACUGGCUCCAUCUUGCUGUCCCUCCCAAUCACACAACAUCUCCCCUUGAAGGCUCUGCCCAGGCCCGGACUCCCACCUUUCAAGAUGUCUGGAUCAGUGCAGGACCUCCUCCUUGGCCACAUCGCUCUCCUUGGACUGGAAGAGAUGGGGUUUCAUCAUGUUAGCCAGGCUGGUCAGGUGAUCCAUCCGCCUUGGCCUCCCCAAGUGCUGGGAUUACAGGCGUGAGGCACUGUGCCCGGCCUGCCCCCCUUUUCUCUUGAUGCACAUGACAGCCUUCUUGCAAUCAAGAAACUACGUGUGGCCAGGAUCUCAUCCACUAUCACAGUUUCAGCUUUCCCCAAACUGGAAUGUGUCUUUGCAGACGCCCAUCCUUAUUAAAGGGCAAAGACUUCUCAUACACCUAGGAUGGAUCUUAUAUUCUUGGCGGGACUGCAGAGAAGGUGCCGUGUCCUGAGUCCUCAUGUCAGGGCACAGGCUUCCAGCCAGUUCUACCUGGGUUAUGUUUAUCUCAAUUCCCUGGUGGUAUUGGUGUCUGCUGGGUUUUGCCAGAAUGAAGACACCGUGUUUUCAUUUGUCAGUUGAUUCGUAUUUUCCAGGAAGACAUUCUGAGAUUACAGCAUUGUCUUAGUCAAGGUGCUGCAGAAGGACAGAACUAAUAGGAUAUAUGUACAUAUGAAAGAAAGUUUAUGAAGAACUGGCUCACACCAUCACAAGGCAAAGUCCCAUGACAGGCCAUCUGCAAGCUGAGGAGCGAGGAAGCCAGCAGUGGCUCAGCCGGAGUCCAACAGCCUCAAACGGAAUCCAACAGUUCAGGCUUCAGUCUGUGGCCAAAUGCCCAGAGACCCCGGAAAGCUACUGGUGUUAGUCCCAGAGCCGGAAGGCCAAAGAACCUGGAGUGUGAUGUCCAAGGGCAGGAGGAAUGGACAGAAGCAUCCAGCAUGGGGUAAAGACGAAAGCCAGAAGACUCAGCAAGCUAGCUUACCUACUUUCUUCUGCCUGCCUUGUUCUAGCCGCGCUGGCAGCCGGUUGGAGGGUGCCCACCCCCACUGAGGGUGGAUCUUCCUCUCCUAGUCCACUGACUCAAAUUUCAGUCUCUCUGGGAGCACCAUCACACCAGAAACAAUACCAGCCAUCUAGCCACCCUUCAGUUCACCAUCACAACCAUUGUCUUAUUCAUGAAACUUCUGCAGACCCACCUUAACCUCCAUCGGUGACUUCUACCUGAAGCCCUCUGAUUGUUGCCCAGUGGUGCUUUUUAAAAUAAUUUCCAUAGUUUCUUCUACACCUUUAGUUGGCAUUCUACUGUAAAGGAGAGAUUUUAUUUUCUUACUCAUUUAUUUGUUAGUUUAUAGUCACCACCAUAUGGAUGCAGAGUUCUGUCUCAUUCACUGGGAAGUAUUCUAUUGCAGUCAUGAUUUAUUUUGAUGUUCACAUCCCAGAGUUGGUGAGUGAGCGCCCCUUCACGCUGGCUCCCGAGUGCUGACGUGUCCCCGUCCUUCUCUGCACUUUUCCUUACCUCCUGGCCUCAGAUAUUCCAGGGUCAUUUGUUCUCUCCCUGCUCCAACCCUGCAGUCAGCCAUCUCCCUAGGGACGUUGGUUCCUUUAUGGAAGGUGGCAUUUAGAAGCCAGGAUUUGGGCUGAGCACUGUGGCUCAUGCUUGUAAUCCCAGCACUUGGGGAGGCCGAAGUGGGCGGAUCGCUGGAGGCCAAGAGUCUGAGACCAGCCUGGCUAACAUGGUGAAACCCUUCCCCGUCUCUACUACAAAUAAAAAAUUAGCUGGGUGUGUUGGCACGUGCCUGUAAUCCCAGUUACUCAGGAGGCUGAAGCACCAGAAUCUCUUGAACCCAGGAGGCCGAGGUUGCAGUGAGCCAAGAUUGCACCACUGCACUACAGCUUGGGUGACAGCGCGAGACACCGUCUCAAAAAGGAUAAUAAUUUAAAAAACAGCAGGAUUUGGGUGAGCAGUGCGCUCAUUGCUUCUGGGCUCUCUCGGUGGACAUAGGCUAGGAAUGUAAGAUGUAUGUGCCUGUGUAUAUACACACGUCUGUAGCUAUGUCUAUGUUGCAUACAUGUGUUUUUCCAAAAACCAAAUCCAUAACCAUGCCUUCAGUUUCAGCCCAACACCUCCGGGCUCUUUCUAGCUUUCUACCUUUCAUGAUUGUGAAUACCUUCUCCAGCAGUGAGAAACCUGGCUCCUUUGUCCUCAGUGGAUUUUCUUAUUUGCUCAAUUUUUUUGUUUUUUGUUUUGUUUUUGUUUUUGAGACAGAGUCUUGUUCUGUCACCCAAGCUGGAGUGCAGUGGCAUAAUCUCGGCUUACCGCAACCUCUGCCUCCUGG